GUGCUCACUUCAGCAGCAUAUAUACUAAUAUUGGAAAGAUACAGUAAAGAUUAGCAUGGCCCCUGCACAAGGCUUACGUGCAAAUCUGAAGCAUUCUACAUAUUUCU
ensembl:snRNA U6 U6 spliceosomal RNA